UACAGAGGUCCCGAGCGUUGUUCGGAUUCAUUGGGCGUAAAGGGUGCGUAGGCGGCGGGGCAAGUCUGAUGUGAAAUCCCGGGGCUCAACCCCGGAACUGCAUUGGAUACUGCCUUGCUUGAGUACUGGAGAGGGAACUGGAAUUUACGGUGUAGCAGUGAAAUGCGUAGAUAUGCGGAGGAACACCGAUGGCGAAGGCAAUCCCCUGGGCCUGCACUGACGCUCAUGCACGAAAGCGUGGGGAGCAAACAGG
rnacentral:rRNA from 1 species